rnacentral:rRNA from 1 species
UACGAAGGGGGCUAGCGUUGCUCGGAAUGACUGGGCGUAAAGGGCGCGUAGGCGGAUGGUACAGUCAGAUGUGAAAUUCCUGGGCUUAACCUGGGGGCUGCAUUUGAUACGUGUUGUCUAGAGUGAGGAAGAGGGUCGUGGAAUUCCCAGUGUAGAGGUGAAAUUCGUAGAUAUUGGGAAGAACACCGGUGGCGAAGGCGGCGACCUGGUCCUUUACUGACGCUGAGGCGCGAAAGCGUGGGGAGCGAACAGG